rnacentral:tRNA from 1 species
GGUGGGCUCAGUGGUAGAGUGCUUGCCUUGCAUGCAUAAGGCCCUGGGUUCAAGUCCUCAGCACCA